rnacentral:lncRNA from 1 species
UCAUUGUUUAAGAGACAAAUCUCACCGUGAUACUGCUGACCCUGAAAAAUAGCAGGUUUCACUUUAUUUUAAAUUCCCACAUGUUUCUUUUUUUUUUUAAGUUCCACUUGAUACCAACUAUAUUAAAAAUGCACAAUUUAAUCAGAACAAGGGCUGACCAUUUUGAAGGACCUUUAUUUCCUUGAUGCUCCCGGUCUUUGUCUCCACCGUCUAUCGUCUCUCAUCGAAUGGCUGAGCUCUGUGUGCGUCACGAAGGGCAAUUCCUUCUCCUUGGGUUUGUUUUGGAGCCUGAGUGGGGAGCGUGUCUACCUGAGUCGCCUUGGGCAUGCUCUCUCCUGUCUUCACAUGUGAUGUAGGAACAGUGAAAGACCUUAGCUCAUGGGAAGGCUGGGAAAAUCCGAGGUAAGGACAGUCAGCAAAGACUGUUGCUUUGGCUCAGCCUAGG